rnacentral:tRNA from 1 species
GAGAAAUCCGUCGACUUUAUAAGUCGUGAGGGUUCAAGUCCCUCUAUCCCCA